rnacentral:lncRNA from 1 species
AAUGAUACAUCCUAUAAAAGUUUGACAAUGAUUUUUGAAUUAUCAAUAUUGAAAUGAGGAAUGUUUGACCAAAUUUUGAAUGCCUAUGGAAUAGGCUCUGAAAAUAUCUCCAUGAAGAGUCCAAGGGAGGGUAACCAUCCUCCGAAAAGUCAAACAAUUCGUCAUCUAACUUUGAUAGAUUCAUGUUUUCACUUAUUAGGCACUAGGUUUGCUAUAUGUGACCUUGAAGUGUAUUAUUAGUUUGAGUAGCAUUCACAUGUAUCUCUAGAGCUUACAAAGCAUUGCAUAUGUUUGACAAAUUAAAUCAUUUAAGCUAUAGUGUUGAAAUCAAUUCAUGCUUGCAUUACAAAUUCAAUCUAUUUGCUAGGAUCAUACAAGCACAAGGCAUUCCUUAAAAAGUUGAACCUAUCUUUACAAAGGGGCUUUGUAAAGAUAUCGGCCAAU